rnacentral:tRNA from 1 species
GUAGCUGUAGCUCAAUGGCAGAGUGCUUCCCUAGCAUGUGUGAGGCACUGGGUUUGAUCCUCAGCACUACA